AGCUUAGAAGCAAAAAUAAAUAUGGGUUGUAAAUGUGGAAGCGGAUGCAAAUGCUCCAACUGCUGCAAAUGUCCUAAUGGCUGCAAAUGCGGAAAGAAAUGCUGCCCAUGCUGCAAUUGCUCUUAAACAGAUCGGAGAGAGAUUAUUGCUACGCACUGGACCUCUCAUCAUCCGACAAAGAGAUCCUUAAUCGAAUAGACUCUUUUUUAGAGAUCUUUAUUUUUUUGAAAAAUGGUCGUUGACUUAAGAAUGUAGAUUUGAUUGACAAAUCCUAUAA